rnacentral:rRNA from 1 species
GAUGAACGCUGGCGGCGUGCCUAAUACAUGCAAGUCGAGCGAACGGACGAGAAGCUUGCUUCUCUGAUGUUAGCGGCGGACGGGUGAGUAACACGUGGAUAACCUACCUAUAAGACUGGGAUAACUUCGGGAAACCGGAGCUAAUACCGGAUAAUAUUUUGAACCGCAUGGUUCAAAAGUGAAAGACGGUCUUGCUGUCACUUAUAGAUGGAUCCGCGCUGCAUUAGCUAGUUGGUAAGGUAACGGCUUACCAAGGCAACGAUGCAUAGCCGACCUGAGAGGGUGAUCGGCCACACUGGAACUGAGACACGGUCCAGACUACUACGGGAGGCAGCAGUAGGGAAUAUUCCGCAAUGGGCGAAAGCAUGACGGAGCAACGCCGCGUGAGUGAUGAAGGUCUUCGGAUCGUAAAACUCUGUUAUUAGGGAAGAAAAUAUGUGUAAGUAACUGUGCACAUCUUGACGGUACCUAAUCAGAAAGCCACGGCUAACUACGUG